rnacentral:lncRNA from 1 species
AGGGUUGGAAGCAAAUGUUCAUUAUUCUCAAAGAUAUAAUAAAAACACUGCAUAAAUAAAUAGAACUGGGCAACAAUGACGUUUCGCGAACAAAUGACAUGCAAAACACAGUGAAUAAAAGAAACAGAUUUUGUAAACAAAAACAUCAGAAUGAAAUAAACAUCGAGAAGUGGUAGCUGUAUAGUAUUUGGAUUGCAGUUUUGUGUGUUCUUGUAAAUCUCUGUUUGUAUAAAGCUGGAGUGGCAGGCCAGUCCACAUGUGCUCUAUCUCUCGAGCCGGAACCAGCGAAAGUGAUACUUAAGGAAGGCUUGACAUACACAGAUGAUAGUGUGUUAACGUGUUCUGACGGCAAAUGUGGCAAAAUUCCGCUUCGUAAUAUCCAAAACGCCUACCCAGACUCAUUCUCUAGCCAGGAAGUUGCAGAGAAAAAUACGGGGUUACAGUUUAACGACUAUAUUGAAAAGGUUCCACCAGCAUGUGCCUUGGAAAAGCAAUCUGCAAAAAGCUCUUAUAGCAACAUAUAUCAGUCCUACAUGUCGUCGUUUCUGGAGUGACCGUGAUGGCUGUUGCCCUACAUGGCGAUAUGUUACGUUUCACAAAGGUCCACUUAGAAACAUUUCCGGAAGAAAGUGCUACAUUCUUCAAAUCCCAUUUUUGAGACUGUACCAGUACAUAUCUGUUGGGAUUUGCGGAUGGAUGCAGGAAUGCAGUGGAAGAUGCAAACAACAAUACACAGUACAAUCCAUGUUAGCAUGGUGUCCAGGAUACAUGCGGACUAAAGAUGCAUCAUUUUAGAAUUCCGACCUACUGCUCCUGUCAGAAAAGUUAAUCAAGAGAAGAAAUGAGACACAGUUCAUUAACAUUUUCUUGUUUUCACGUUUAUCUAUAUCUGUUUUGAAUUUUCGCGCGUGUCACACAUGCGGCGUGCAUGUGUUUACAUUUCAUUAUCUGUUAUAUGUAUAGAAUAAACUAACUAAAACGAAUGAAUUUAAAGUUACUGUUAAAUGAAAGAUACUUUCGCACACUGAAAUCAAGGUAGACCAAACAUACAUUAUUACUUUUAGUCAUAUAAUUACACUAUACACUUACGCAAGGACUUUGAUAUCAGAUUAGAACAGAAUAUUUUUACUAAAGCUUGUUCAAAAACAAUCCGGUUGUGCACAAAAAUAAGGUAAAAUCGUGUGUAAAUAAAGGCAUUCUUUUUAUGGUGAAAAUUUUGUAUACAAACAAUAAACAUUUUUAUAUUUAUGCAUACGAGCGUAUGUAUCAAUGUAAAGAACGUAAUUGUCACAGUAUAAUGAGUAUUAAUGUUUGUAUGUGAUGUAUAUAACGAAUACUGAAAAAUGAUGUAAAAUGCGGAGAGUUUGCACCAUCUUAGCAGAGAACAAUAUAAGUUAACAGGUGAAUAAAACAUGAACCCUGAUAAGAAUACUACUUUUCGUUUAUAACUGCCAAGUGAAACAUCUUGUGGAUAAAGAUCCUUACUGUAUUCUUCUAUCCACGUAAACCUGAGGUGUUGAUUCCAAAACGAAUGAAGUGGUCAUAAUUCAUUUGUGCCUUGAAUUAUCAACAUAAUGUGUUACUUCUAAAAUGGCUUGAGCGCACUUGUAUUCCUUUUGGCACAUUUGUACCUUACAUAAUGUAUCAAAACGUAUAUCGCCAGAAGGAACUAUGUGCGCUUAUAUCUUUCUGGUUUUCACUUUAAUGCACAUAUAACGUUCUGGCUAAGCACUUAUUGCGACAAGGUUCUCAUUGAUAGCUUAAACUGAUACGGUUUCCAGAGAUCAGGGCAAAUGAAAGAGCUCUUAAAACGGUAUUAAAAGUCUCAAAAAGUGAUAUUCAGUAAAAACAUGGACCGUUUUGGCUAAGUACAACCCCUCGAAGUGAAUUCCGAAACUACACUUUGUUUUAAAUUUGUCUUCUGCAUUAUCAACUCAUUUCAUAAUUAUUAGCAAUAGCCAAUUCAAAGAACAACAUUCAAGGAUUAAUGUAAUUUUGCUACUUUAUUUUUCAACAAACUUUUAAUCUAAAAUUAAGGAUUUCCCUUUUUGGAAAGAACCAGUUUAAUCCCCUUUAAGCAUAUAUACAAAAACAAUCAGAUACAAGCCGCUAUCAUACGAACUUAAAAAAUCUUGAAUUUACGCGGUUUCUGACAUGAAAACUCCGGAUAUACAUGAAACAUCACAUUCGCAAGGAGUUUAAGUGACUUUCAAUGUAUGUUAAUUUCGGCUCUCCCUUCUAUCUGUCUUUCAACGUUGUUUUCAUGAUACGUGGACCUGUCAUGCAAUAUAUAGGUUGUACCUAGGGAAGAAUAACUCAUAACUGAAUGAACUGAUUAUCUCUACAAAUGUUUAUUUCAGUACAAAACAGACAGCACUUUGUUUACAUACAUGAAUAACACAUUGUAUAAACGUACAUUUUAUAUCAACAUGUUCAUUGCCGUACAAAAUAGACAGAACCCUGUUUAUAUACAUGAAUAAAUAUUGUAUAUAAUGUG